AUGCACUUCUAAGGCACAUAUAGUAAAACUGAAAUGAUAUAGAGAAGGUUAGCAUGGCCCUUCUGCAAGGAUGACACCCAAACUUGUGAAGCAUUCAAUAUUUAA